rnacentral:rRNA from 1 species
CCCUACGGGGGGCAGCAGUGGGGAAUAUUGGGCAAUGGGCGCAAGCCUUACCCAGCAAUACCGCGUGGGUGAAGGAGUACUUCGGUACGUAAAGCCCUAUCAGCAGGAAAGAAAAUGACGGUACCUGACUAAGAAGCCCCGGCUAACUACGUGCCAGCAGCCGCGGUAAUACGUAGGGGGCAAGCGUUAUCCGGAUUUACUGGGUGUAAAGGGAGCGUAGACGGCAGUGCAAGUCCGGAGUGAAAGCCCGGGGCUCAACCCUGG